CCUACGGGUGGCAGCAGUGAGGAAUAUUGGUCAAUGGGCGAGAGCCUGAACCAGCCAAGUCGCGUGAGGGAAGACGGUCCUAUGGAUUGUAAACCUCUUUUGCCGGGGAGCAAAAAGCGGUACGUGUACCGCAUCGAGAGUACCCGGAGAAAAAGCAUCGGCUAACUCCGUGCCAGCAGCCGCGGUAAUACGGAGGAUGCGAGCGUUAUCCGGAUUUAUUGGGUUUAAAGGGUGCGUAGGCGGGCUGUUAAGUCAGCGGUCAAAUGUCGGGGCUCAACCCCGGCCUGCCGUUGAAACUGGCGGCCUCGAGUGGGCGAGAAGUAUGCGGAAUGCGUGGUGUAGCGGUGAAAUGCAUAGAUAUCACGCAGAACUCCGAUUGCGAAGGCAGCAUACCGGCGCCCGACUGACGCUGAGGCACGAAAGCGUGGGUAUCGAACAGGAUUAGAUACCCUUGUAGUC
rnacentral:rRNA from 1 species